GCAGGGAUACCCAAGUGGACAAAGGGGCUAGGCUUAGGACCUAGUGGCUUAGUGCCUUCGCCGGUUCGAAUCCGGCUCCCUGCA
rnacentral:tRNA from 1 species